AAAGGGAGACCUAAUUCGGGUAGAAGACGAAAAAAUAGUAGUCGAAACCAAGAAUCAAUCCCAAAAGGUCGGAACGAGGUAUGUGGCUUUCAAACUAGGUUCUGGGUUCAUAAAAGACCUGAAUCAGGAACAAGGGCUAUUAGCUCAGGUGGUUAGAGCGCACCCCUGAUAAGGGUGAGGUCCCUGGUUCGAGUCCAGGAUGGCCCACCUGCACAGGUGGCAAAAACAAGAGAAGCGAGGAAUCAGCACCUUAUCUUAUAUACAUAUAUAAGAGAGAAUGCUGGCUCUGAGUACAGAGUCCAGAGGAACCUUGAAAACUGCAUAGAGCUAGGUGAAAAAGCCAAAAAAGAAGACCGCAAG
rnacentral:tRNA from 1 species